rnacentral:rRNA from 1 species
GGCUCAACCGGGGAGGGUCAUUGGAAACUGGGAGACUUGAGUGCAGAAGAGGAGAGUGGAAUUCCAUGUGUAGCGGUGAAAUGCGUAGAUAUAUGGAGGAACACCAGUGGCGAAGGCGGCUCGCGGGUCUGUAACUGACGCUGAGGCUCGAAAGCGUGGGGAGCGAACAGGAUUAGAUACCCUGGUAGUCCACGCCGUAAACGAUGAGUGCUAAGUGUUGGAGGGUUUCCGCCCUUCAGUGCUGCAGCAAACGCAUUAAGCACUCCGCCUGGGGAGUACGACCGCAAGGUUGAAACUCAAAGGAAUUGACGGGGGCCCGCACAAGCGGUGGAGCAUGUGGUUUAAUUCGAAGCAACGCGAAGAACCUUACCAGGUCUUGACAUCCUUUGACCACUCUAGAGAUAGAGCUUCCCCUUCGGGGGCAAAGUGACAGGUGGUGCAUGGUUGUCGUCAGCUCGUGUCGUGAGAUGUUGGGUUAAGUCCCGCAACGAGCGCAACCCUUAUUGUUAGUUGCCAUCAUUUAGUUGGGCACUCUAGCGAGACUGCCGGUGACAAACCGGAGGAAGGUGGGGAUGACGUCAAAUCAUCAUGCCCCUUAUGACCUGGGCUACACACGUGCUACAAUGGGAAGUACAACGAGUUGCGAAGUCGCGAGGCUAAGCUAAUCUCUUAAAGCUUCUCUCAGUUCGGAUUGUAGGCUGCAACUCGCCUACAUGAAGCCGGAAUCGCUAGUAAUCGCGGAUCAGCACGCCGCGGUGAAUACGUUCCCGGGCCU